CCAGUCAAUGGGCUGUAGCUCCACUGGAGUCAAUGGGACCAGAUCCCAACUGGGGUCAAUGGGCUGUAGCUCCAUUGGUGUCAAUGGGGACAGAUCCCAGCUGGGGUCAAUGGGCUAUUGCUCCAUGGGGGUCAAUGGGACAGAUCCCCAGCUGGUGAAAAUCAGAGCAACUCCA